CCUAACCAGUGCCUGUUGGAAACAAUGCCUUUCCUUUUCUCUCCGGUUUAAAUUGAGGGCCAAGCAGCCAAAGAGAAGCAAGAACACAUCACGUUCUCUCAAUUAAGAACGGUAUGCUGGACUCGUAUACAUCGCGGCAAAGUUUUUCUCCUGAAGUUUCUAUGUGGAUGAUCUCUGGCUCUGAUAAGCAGGUUCUUGGGAGAUGAGACUCUAACACGGGUCUCCAGGGGGACUGGUCGAUGAUUAGUUGCUGUUAUUCCACUGAAAGGAUGGAUAAAGAAACAAUCGGAAGAAUGGUGGUUAGUCUAACCGUUCCUUUUGGGAUCUGUAACAGAUCUGUAAACAGAUAUCUAUUUAUUGAGACCUACUAUGUGCCGGCUACUCCUGGAGGCACUGGGCACAGCGGUGAAUGCAUCGGACUCCUGUCUUCACGGAGCUUAUGUGCUAAAGAUGCGGGUCAGACUAUAAAGACACAAUAACCUAUCUCGGGUGAUGAUCAGCACUUUGAAAAACACAGCUGAGGUCAUGCAGUGGAAAGUACCACGUGCGGGAGGCUGAAAUUUCCUACAGUGUGCUCAGCGGAGCCCGUGUGAUGAAGGGACACUUUGGCAGAACAUGGAGCCUGUGGGGGGACAGGGCGAGAUGGGGAUCUAGGAGGAUGCAUGUUUUAGUUCCCAGCAGCAAAUGGAGCAAUAAAGCAGGGGCUCUCCAGGGAGAA